rnacentral:rRNA from 1 species
UGGGGAAUAUUGGGCAAUGGGCGAAAGCCUGACCCAGCAACGCCGCGUGAAGGAAGAAGGUCUUCGGAUUGUAAACUUCUUUUAUGAGGGACGAAGGACGUGACGGUACCUCAUGAAAAAGCCACGGCUAACUACGUGCCAGCAGCCGCGGUAAUACGUAGGUGGCAAGCGUUGUCCGGAUUUACUGGGUGUAAAGGGCGUGUAGGCGGGAGAGCAAGUCAGAAGUGAAAUCUAUGGGCUUAACCCAUAAACUGCUUUUGAAACUGUUCUUCUUGAGUAUCGGAGAGGCAGGCGGAAUUCCUAGUGUAGCGGUGAAAUGCGUAGAUAUUAGGAGGAACACCAGUGGCGAAGGCGGCCUGCUGGACGACAACUGACGCUGAGGCGCGAAAGCGUGGGGAGC